ACUAUUUAUAGCUAUAAUAUCAAACAUAUAAAGUAUGUAUGAAAGUUCUAAUGAUAUAAGUUUGGCGUUCUAGAUGAAUGUUUUUUCCAUAAAUUCGAUCAAAGUUUAUGAUGUCUGACUUUUUAAAAAUCUAUAUGCACAAUAUUAUGAAACUAGCGAGUAUUUUUUUUAAAUGACGCCGUGACGGAGCCGGGCGUGGUGACCACGCCGCUGAUCCCCUCCGCGCCGGACGCUUUCUACACGAUCCUGCUCGCGUCAGUCAAGAUCGGGAACUCGACCGUCGUGCCACCGAAGCGGUCCCCUGUCAUCGGCGACUCCGUCCCGGUGCUGAUGUACCUCGACAAGGGGCUGCUGGACCAGGUCGUGGCGGAGGUCGCCCGGAGCAUCAAGCUCCCGCGGAAGCAGUCGCCGGAGAAGCUAGUGGAUCUGUGCUACGACGUGGCCGGCGAGACCAAGGCAUGGGCGAAUCUUUUCCCAUAGGUGACGCUGGGGUUUGGCGGCGGCGCCGUGAUCACCCUGCCGGAGAGCCAAACGAUUUGUGUUGGCAGAUGAGUGUGACAAAACAAGGAGCGAUCACUCGACCAGAUAACUGCGCGCACGACGAAGGUAUUUGUAUUCUCUGUCGCCGUCGACUCCUCGUCUUACAUGUCAUGGACUCUCUGUAUAAAAUUUUCAGUUAGUUACCUGUUAGGCCAUCUUUCGAUAUGCCUCAAGGGUAGGUGUUUAUUAUGUGUUGAAAUGAAUUAUGAACUAUGUCGGUGAAUGUUUUAGAAUAUCUGUUAAUGUUGAAACCUAUAAAAUAUUCAGUUACUUAUUUGAUAGUUCAUUGUUCUCAUGUCUAAUUAAAUGUUUAUAUUGAGGGGAAGUUGUGGAUGGUUUGAAUCAUUUUUUUUUUUGAGGUAGGAUGGUUAGAAUCAUUGUGCAUAAAGAAUCUUUCUAUCAACCUGCAACCCAGCCAUGCCUUGAAGACUCAAUCACUAUUCAAAAUUUGAAGGAAUAGUCGUUGCAGCAUGGGUUAGGCCAAAAUAAUUUUAUUUACUAUCGAAGCAGGAUGUGUUAGGAUGAUCUUCACCGUGUGGGCCCAACGGCCCACCGGGCCCUUAGAUCCGCGCCCUGAUCGGGGGUGCUCAACCCAUUAUGGGUGACGGGCCCCUGUCACCUGCACUAUAUAAAGAGGUGGGGGCCGGCGGCUCGCAUCACGAGGUUCGUCGCAACGCCGUACUCCCACCACUUCAC
rnacentral:rRNA from 1 species